GCCUCUCCGCCCUGCCUCGUUAAAAAAUGACGUCGACGACGAUGGAGUUUCGGUUUUUCGUGUUCCGAUCAGUGGAGGAAGACUGGAUCGUGACAUUUGGAGUUCAACACUGUCUAAAUUCUACUACGGAUGCAGUAAUGCAAGCAAAAAAUUUGCUGAUGCUAAAUUAAUCACGCAAUCCAAUCGGUACUUGUUAAUUGCGACCAGUGGAGGUUUGAACCAACAAAGAACUGGGGUAAUUAUAUCUAUCAAAUGUUAUUUUGGAAUUGCCGAAGGGUAAUCUAGAUCUAUUUUUGGUUUUUCGAGUGUUUGGAGAAUGGUUUCUGUGUUGAGAAGCUAAAGAGAAGGUUAACACGCGUGGAACUUAAUUUGGACUUGAUUGUAGUCUUAAAUAUUGGUCUAAAGAACUAGUUUAGUAGUCAACGGGAUCUACUUAAUUAUCGAUUAUAGGUUACUAGGAGGUUGGAUCAAUGGAACAAAACCUGAAUAUUUUUAUUGGAAUUAUAAGCAAUCUAAUGUUUACUUUCGUUGCAAUUGCUGUUCGAUGCUAUCAUUUCAGCUCAC